rnacentral:rRNA from 1 species
GUCUACGGCCAUGCCACCCUGAACAAGUCUGAUCCCGUCUGAUCUUGGAAGUUUAGCAGGGUCAGGCCUGGUUAGCACUUGGAUGAGAGACCACCUAGGAAGACCAGGUGCUGUAGGCG